rnacentral:tRNA from 1 species
GGUAGAGCUUUAGGCUCUUAACCUAAUGGUCGAGGGUUCGAGCCCCUCA